rnacentral:rRNA from 1 species
GAACGAACGCUGGCGGCAUGCCUAACCCAUGCAAGUCGAACGAUGCCUUCGGGCAUAGUGGCGCACGGGUGCGUAACGCGUGGGAAUCUGCCUUUCGGUUCGGAAUAACUCAGGGAAACUUGAGCUAAUACCGGAUAACGUCGCAAGACCAAAGAUUUAUCACCGAAAGAUGAGCCCGCGUAGGAUUAGCUAGUUGGUGAGGUAAAGGCUCACCAAGGCGACGAUCCUGAGCUGGGCUGAGAGGAUGAUCAGCCACACUGGGACUGAGACACGGCCCAGAAUCCUACGGGAGGCAGCAGUGGGGAAUAUUAGACAAUGGGCGAAAGUCUGACCCAGCAAUGCCGCGUGAGUGAUGAAGGCCUUAGGGUUGUAAAGCUCUUUUACCCGGGAAGAGAAUGACGGUACCGGGAGAAUAAGCACCGGCUAACUACGUG